AGGACUCGGAUCAGCCGUUCCAUUUGUUGUUUUGGAUAUGUGUUUGCAACAGCUUACAAAUGGCUCUUUGACAGAGAAAGUUGACGUGUAUGAAAUGUUAGUGAAUAUUGUUAAGACCCGCAAAGACCUUUUGCCCUCACAGGAGUUGUUUAUCCUAACACAUGACUGCGGCAGACAUCUUGGUAGUUGUGACUACGAACUACUUCGAAGUUCAGAAGAAAUUGAAAGUGUUUACCAAACUCUAAAAGUGAAUGACUGAUGUACGCAAAUCUGCUGGAUUUAUCCAUAAUCGGAGGAUUUACAGCACAGUUAUGCCUAUUU